CGCGGGAUUAGAGUUUGAUCCUGGCUCAGGAUGAACGCUAGCGGCAGGCUUAACACAUGCAAGUCGAGGGGUAUAGUUCUUCGGAAUUAGAGACCGGCGCACGGGUGCGUAACGCGUAUGCAAUCUACCUUUCACAGAGGGAUAGCCCAGAGAAAUUUGGAUUAAUACCUCAUAGUAUAUCGAGUUGGCAUCAACAUGAUAUUAAAGUCACAACGGUGAAAGAUGAGCAUGCGUCCCAUUAGCUUGUUGGUAAGGUAACGGCUUACCAAGGCUACGAUGGGUAGGGGUCCUGAGAGGGAGAUCCCCCACACUGGUACUGAGACACGGACCAGACUCCUACGGGAGGCAGCAGUGAGGAAUAUUGGACAAUGGGCGCAAGCCUGAUCCAGCCAUGCCGCGUGCAGGAUGACGGUCCUAUGGAUUGUAAACUGCUUUUGCACAGGAAGAAACAACAUUACGUGUAAUGUCUUGACGGUACUGUGAGAAUAAGGAUCGGCUAACUCCGUGCCAGCAGCCGCGGUAAUACGGAGGAUCCAAGCGUUAUCCGGAAUCAUUGGGUUUAAAGGGUCCGUAGGCGGCUUUAUAAGUCAGUGGUGAAAUCUCCCCGCUCAACGGGGAAACGGCCAUUGAUACUGUAAGGCUUGAAUUAUUAGGAAGUAACUAGAAUAUGUAGUGUAGCGGUGAAAUGCUUAGAGAUUACAUGGAAUACCAAUUGCGAAGGCAGGUUACUACUAAUUGAUUGACGCUGAUGGACGAAAGCGUGGGUAGCGAACAGGAUUAGAUACCCUGGUAGUCCACGCCGUANACGAUGGAUACUAGCUGUUGGGAGCAAUCUCAGUGGCUAAGCGAAAGUGAUAAGUAUCCCACCUGGGGAGUACGAACGCAAGUUU
rnacentral:rRNA from 1 species